GCAGUCGAACGGCAGCACGGGCUUCGGCCUGGUGGCGAGUGGCGAACGGGUGAGUAAUGCAUCGGAACGUGCCCAUGUCGGGGGGGAUAACGUANCGAAAGCUACGCUAAUACCGCAUACGCCCUGAGGGGGAAAGCGGGGGAUUCUUCGGAACCUCNCGCGAUUGGAGCGGCCGAUGUCUGAUUAGCUAGUAGGGGAGGGAAAGGCUCACCUAGGCGACAAUCCGUAGCGGGUCUGAGAGGAUGAUCCCCCCCACUGGGGCUGAGACACGGCCCACACUCCUACGGGAGGCAGCAGUGGGGAAUUUUGGACAAUGGGGGAAACCCUGACCCACCGCCGCCCCGGGAGUGAAAAAGGCCUUCUGGUUGUAAAGUUCUGUUUUUAGGGAAGAAAAGAUCCU
rnacentral:rRNA from 1 species